rnacentral:rRNA from 1 species
UACGUAGGGUGCGAGCGUUGUCCGGAAUUACUGGGCGUAAAGAGCUCGUAGGUGGUUUGUCGCGUUGUCCGUGAAAACUCACAACUCAAUUGUGGGCGUGCGGGCGAUACGGGCAGACUGGAGUACUGCAGGGGAGACUGGAAUUCCUGGUGUAGCGGUGGAAUGCGCAGAUAUCAGGAGGAACACCGAUGGCGAAGGCAGUUCUCUGGGCCGUAACUGACGCUGAGGAGCGAAAGCGUGGGGAGCGAACAGG